ACUCUCAGCAACGGAUAUCUUGGCUCUUGCAACGAUGAAGAACGCAGCAAAAUGCGAUACGUAGUGUGAAUUGCAGAAUUCCGCGAAUCAUCGAGUUUUUGAACGCAAGUUGCGCCCGAGGCUUGUCCGAGGGCAUUUCCGCUAGAGCGUCA
rnacentral:rRNA from 1 species